GUCAUGGCUCAAUGGUAGAGUGCUUGCCUUGCAUGUGAGAGGCACUGGGUUCGAUCCUCAGCAUCACA
rnacentral:tRNA from 1 species